rnacentral:rRNA from 1 species
UACGGAGGGAGCUAGCGUUGUUCGGAAUUACUGGGCGUAAAGCGCGCGUAGGCGGCUUUGUAAGUUAGAGGUGAAAGCCCGGAGCUCAACUCCGGAACUGCCUUUAAAACUGCAUCGCUUGAAUCCAGGAGAGGUGAGUGGAAUUCCGAGUGUAGAGGUGAAAUUCGUAGAUAUUCGGAAGAACACCAGUGGCGAAGGCGACUUACUGGACACAUAUUGACGCUGAGGUGCGAAAGCGUGGGGAGCAAACAGG